rnacentral:rRNA from 1 species
CCUACGGGUGGCAGCAGUGGGGGAUAUUGCACAAUGGAGGAAACUCUGAUGCCUCUCCGCCGCUCGCGUUCCUCCUUUCUUCUUCUUUUCCCCCUCUUUCUUUUUUUAAGAAAAUGACGGUACCCAAAGAGGAAGCUCCGGCUAACUACGUGCCAGCAGCCGCGGUAAUACGUAGGGAGCGAGCGUUGUCCGGAAUUACUGGGUGUAAAGGGAGCGUAGGCGGGCGAGAAAGUUGAAUGUUAAAUCUACCGGCUUAACUGGUAGCUGCGUUCAAAAAUUCUUGUCUUGAGUGAAGUAGAGGCAGGCGGAAUUCCUAGUGUAGCGGUGAAAUGCGUAGAUAUUAGGAGGAACACCAGUGGCGAAGGCGGCCUGCUGGGCUUUAACUGACGCUGAGGCUCGAAAGCGUGGGGAGCAAACAGGAUUAGAUACCCGGGUAGUC